rnacentral:lncRNA from 1 species
AUAUUCUCCCAAACUAAAAGAACAGAGGUAGAGAACUAAUAUAAAAAAUUCUACAGCACAGUUGUCUGGAGACAUUUAAGGUAAGAAUGAAUGCACUUAGUAGAGUCUGUGGGUAACAAUGUAUUGCUUCAAGGAAUAGCAUUUUGUUCAUACAGUGAUAAAUCCAGAUUAUCAAUAAAAACAUUUAUUGUAAAUUAGGAACCCCUUAGUCAAGAUACUGUCCUUUCAUUUGUCCUAAAAUUAUAGUAUUGAUUUUUGCUUA